rnacentral:precursor_RNA from 10 species
UAAACAUCUUUGUUUCAAACUGCAGUGGGUAAAGUGCAACUGUGUAAACCUGAUUAUACUGCAGGUUUACAUUGCAUGCACUUAUCCUAAUGCUAGUUACAAUCAUCUGAAGUUUU